UACGGGAGGCAGCAGUGGGGAAUAUUGCACAAUGGGCGCAAGCCUGAUGCAGCCAUGCCGCGUGUAUGAAAAAGGCCUUCGGGUUGUAAAGUACUUUCAGUCGUGAGGAAGGUGUUAAGGUUAAUAACCUUAGCAAUUGACGUUAGCGACAGAAGAAGCACCGGCUAACUCCGUGCCAGCAGCCGCGGUAAUACGGAGGGUGCGAGCGUUAAUCGGAAUUACUGGGCGUAAAGGGCACGCAGGCGGUUAAUUAAGUUGGAUGUGAAAUCCCCGGGCUUAACCUGGGAAUGGCAUUCAAGACUGGUUAGCUAGAGUCUUGUAGAGGGGGUAGAAUUCCAUGUGUAGCGGUGAAAUGCGUAGAGAUGUGGAGGAAUACCGGUGGGCGAAGGCGGCCCCUGGGACAAAGACUGACGCUCAUGUGCGAAAGCGUGGGGAGCAAAC
rnacentral:rRNA from 1 species